AGGUAACAUCAGCUACUCACAAGCUAAAGAUCAAAUGAUACAGAAGAUCAACAGGGCCCCUGAGCAAGGAUGGCAUUAUAUUUGUGAUAUAGUCCUUU
rnacentral:snRNA from 1 species